rnacentral:rRNA from 1 species
GAUGAACGCUGGCGGCGUGCCUAAUACAUGCAAGUCGAGCGAACAGACGAGGAGCUUGCUCCUCUGACGUUAGCGGCGGACGGGUGAGUAACACGUGGAUAACCUACCUAUAAGACUGGGAUAACUUCGGGAAACCGGAGCUAAUACCGGAUAAUAUAUUGAACCGCAUGGUUCAAUAGUGAAAGACGGUUUUGCUGUCACUUAUAGAUGGAUCCGCGCCGCAUUAGCUAGUUGGUAAGGUAACGGCUUACCAAGGCAACGAUGCGUAGCCGACCUGAGAGGGUGAUAGGCCACACUGGAACUGAGACACGGUCCAGACUCCUACGGGAGGCAGCAGUAGGGAAUCUUCCGCAAUGGGCGAAAGCCUGACGGAGCAACGCCGCGUGAGUGAUGAAGGUCUUCGGGUCGUAAAACUCUGUUAUUAGGGAAGAACAAAUGUGUAAGUAACUAUGCACGUCUUGACGGUACCUAAUCAGAAAGCCACGGCUAACUACGUG